rnacentral:rRNA from 1 species
UACGGAGGAUGCAAGCGUUAUCCGGAAUUAUUGGGCGUAAAGCGUCCGCAGGUGGCUCGUCAAGUCUGCUGUCAAAGCGUGGAGCUUAACUCCAUACAGGAAGUGGAAACUGGGGAGCUAGAGUUCGGAAGGGGUAGCGGAAAUUCCCAGUGUAGCGGUGAAAUGCGUAGAUAUUGGGAAGAACACCGGCGGCGAAAACGCGCUACUGUGCCGAGACUGACACUGAGGGACGAAAGCUAGGGGAGCGAAAGGG